rnacentral:rRNA from 1 species
ACAGUCACACGAGUUGAUCAUGGCUCAGGAUGAACGCUGGCGGCGUGCCUAAUACAUGCAAGUCGAACGGUGUAUAUAAUUUAUUAUAUACAUAGUGGCGAACGGGUGAGUAACGCGUUGGUGACCUGCCCUAAAGCGGGGGACAACAGUUCGAAAGGGCUGCUAAUACCCCAUGUGGUUGUUCGGGAUUAGAAGCGGACAACUAAAGGAUAGCCCUGUGAGGGGAAAUUCGCUUUAGGAGGGGCCUGCGUCCCAUCAGCUAGUUGGUAGGGUAAAGGCCUACCAAGGCGUAGACGGGUAGGGGACCUGAGAGGGUGGCCCCCCCACAAUGGAACUGAAACACGGUCCAUACACCUACGGGUGGCAGCAGUAGGGAAUAUUGCACCAUGGACGGAAGUCUGAUGCAGCAACGCCGCGUGAGUGAUGAAGGCCUUCGGGUCGUAAACUCUUUUCAAGGGAAGAGGAAGGACGGUACCCGUUGGAAUAAGCAUCGGCUAACUACGUG